GGGUCAGUAGGUUGGUCUUGCCACCGGUACGUACUGGUCUCACUGAUUCCUCCUUCCUGAAGAACCGUAAUGCCAUUAAUUUGGUGUUGCGGGGAAACAGGACUGUUACUUUGAAAAAAUUAGAGUGUUUAAAGCAAGCUAACGCUUGAAUACAUUAGCAUGGAAUAAUGAAAUAGUACGAUCGAUCCUAUUUUGUUGGUUUCUAGGAUUGACGUA
rnacentral:rRNA from 1 species